rnacentral:rRNA from 1 species
CGAGCACGCGCGUGUGGCAUAUCAAUAAGCGGAGGAAAAGAGACUAACAAGGAUUCCCCUAGUAACGGCGAGUGAAGCGGGAAGAGCUCAAAUUUGAAAUCUUAAAGGGUUUCCCUUUACGAAUUGUAGUUUAAAGAAGUGUUUUCUGUUGGAGUUUCGGUAAAAGUUCUUUGGAAUAGGACAUCAUAGAGGGUGAGAAUCCCGUAUUUGACCGUUACUUUCCAGCUUUGUGAUACACUUUCAAAGAGUCGGAUUGUUUGGGAAUGCAGUCCAAAAUGGGUGGUAAAUUUCAUCUAAAGCUAAAUAUUGGCGAGAGACCGAUAGCGAACAAGUACCGUGAGGGAAAGAUGAAAAGAACUUUGAAAAGAGAGUUAAACAGUACGUGAAAUUGUCAAAAGGGAAGCGUUUGACACCAGUGUUGUUUUUCCGAAGAUCAAUUACGAAUGUUUUAUUUUUGAGAAGUUAUGACUUCAUCGGCUUGCUUCUCUCUUUAUGAAACUUUCUUAAUGCACUUUUCGGUUAACAAGUCAACAUCAAUUUCUUUUGUUGUAAAAGGGUAUGAGGAAGGUGGCUUUCUUUUCGGAGAAAGUGUUUAUAGCCUUGUAGCCUCUGCAAUCGGAGAGAUUGAGGUCUGCAGCGUAGAUCCUUCGGGGUUAGAUACAGUUUGUGCUAAGUUAUAGCUUUUCAUAGACAACUUGUUGACUAUGUUUAAUCUUGUAGCUUACUCGCUUACGCUAUUUUACCUACGCUUAGGAUGUUGAUGUGAUACUGCGAGC